rnacentral:rRNA from 1 species
GACGAACGCUGGCGGCGCGCUUAACACAUGCAAGUGGAGCGACGAACCAGGGCUUGCCCUGGGGCAAAGCCGCGAACGGGUGAGUAACACGUGGGUAACCUGCCCCGAUGACCGGGACAACCCGAGGAAACUCGGGCUAAUACCGGCUGUGCUCUCGAGCCACAAGGCCAGCGAGGAAAAAUAGCUUCGGCCUUCGCAUCGGGAUGGGCCCGCGGCCCAUUAGCUUGUUGGUGAGGUAACGGCUCACCAAGGCCGCGAUGGGUAGCUGGUCUGAGAGGACGAUCAGCCACACUGGGACUGAGACACGGCCCAGACUCCUACGGGAGGCAGCAGUGGGGAAUCUUGCGCAAUGCGCGACAGCGUGACGCAGCAACGCCGCGUGGGGGAAGAAGGCCUUCGGGUUGUAAACCCCUUUCAGUUGGGACGAAGGUCCGGCCGUUAAUAGCGGUCCGGACUGACGGUACCUUCAGAAGAAGCCCCGGCUAACUACGUGCCAGCAGCCGCAGUAACAC